UUUUUUUUUUUUUUUUUUAUCAAAUAAAAAUUUCAUUAGAUAAAUUUUAAUUGUACAAUCAAAGAUAUCUAAAAUAUCAAUCUUAAGAGGGCAACAAACUAACAUGCUAAAAACACAACUAACGCGGAUAAAAACCGCACUAAAACUACUAGCCCACAUCACUACAAUUAACCAUAAACCCAAACAAAUCCCACAAACCCAACAUAACCAACCCUAAAACAACCCAUGAGCCUAGCAGAACCCUACCACCACCACCUGAUGAGGCGCCGUCGCGGCCAUACCCAUCAUCACAUCCGUAACAAAUCUGCCCAUAAGAGGGAACAAAUAAACGGAAAACCACAACUUUGUCAAAAAAUAAUUGGGUGAUUUACAGCAACCUCCGUCAAAGACGAUGUAGAAUCAAAUUUAGAGAACAUGAGCUAUAAUUCUCUUGCCUAAACUCAAUUUUUAAAUUUUUUGAGAUUUUAGAAUUUUACCACUCAAAGGGAGUUCAAGCACUAUUCAAGAAGGGCAUCACUAGUGUAGUGGAUUGAAGCAAUUGCUCCCCCAGACAAAGUCUUGGGUUCGAAUUCUAAUAUCAGUGUCGUGUGUAUGCAUUUAAUAUAUUAUCACCCCUCUCAAUAGAAAAUGUCUUUUUUAGAAAAAGCACUAUUCAAGAAGGGGUUUCGAAUAGCUAUAUUUCUAUAUCUUGGCAAAAACGCAAAAGUCUUUAAUGGACCUUAAACCAUUAGCAGUUACCGUAAAAUGACAUUAAAAAGUUAAAAAAAUUAAAAAUAAAAAUAAAAAGAAGCAAAAAACCCAAAUACAUAUACAAAGACUAAUCUAGCAAAAGACACCACCUCGCUGUUAAAACAAGGGGAGACCUAUUUGAGAUAUGUUUACAGUACAAGUGGAGUUCACAAAUGUAGCACCAACAAGAAGAAGCAGAGAAUAAGUGGGACAAACAAAUAUAUUGCUGUUAUUCAACAUCCAUUGUUUUAGUGUUUUUACUCUCUACAAUCCUUCACAAACUUUGCAAAGGGUGAAAAUUUCACACAUCAAAUUCAAAGGGCAUAAAUUCGAUCGAUUUCCGAAUUGGAAUAGUCAGAGGGCAUCCAUGAGUUGGAACCACUCCUCCUUGCAUGCUUCUCCUUCUUCCUCGUGGAACGAAUCCGCUUUGACUUUACCACAUAAUAUGUCAUGGUGCCAAGAACUGCGGCCAUUAUCAUUCCCCCAACAACUGUUACCAGAAUUGCAGCCCACUUAUGGUGUCGGCCUACCACUAUGUAAGAGGAGGCCAUGAAAGCCACUGAAGUGCACACGGAAGCCAGCCACAUCAACUUAUUGAUUAUCUCCACCACCCGUUUCUCCGCUUUUGUCUCCCCUCUGACCAAGGUAAUUUGAACAACCACAACAGCCAACGACGUAAAGAGAGCAAUGGCAUUGAAAAUGAAGAAAAUUUUGAAAGGAGGACUCUUCACUACCACAGCUGUCCCAUCGUCUUUAUCACCACCUGGCACAGUAAAGAUAGCUGCAAAGGCAACCGUUGCAAAUAGAACAGCCACCACAGUGACUGAGUUGGUGGCAUUGUUGAUUCCUUCCCUGUGGAGCUUUCUGAGCUCUUUGGAAAUAUUGUGAACAUUUUUAUUGGUUUUCUUUGUUUGUUCAAGCUGGAUAUGAACAUCGUUCUUGAUCUGAGUCACUGUUUUUCUCAAUUCAUCCCUUGGUUGGUUCAGUUCAUUAGCCUUGACAGCACCGUAGCGAUAAAGGCAACCCCUUAUGUCCGAGGAUUCUUCAGAAGGUGGAAGUGCAUCAGCAAUGUCCAGAGCCGUUUUGGUCUCCCUGUUCAGUGCAUUAACAUUGCUGUCUGGGAGGAGUAACAACUCAUUCACUAUCUGCAAGGAAAGCAAAAAAAUAUCAUUACAGAUAGAUCUAUAAUUGUAAUGGAGAUGUGCAAGCAUGAAAGCAAGAACCGACGGCUAUGCUAGUUCAGCUUGAACCAAAGCUAAAAAGAAGUGCAGAAAAUACGAUAAAGGUCCCUAAACCAAUUUUUCAGAGAAACAACGUGAAUACUGAUGCCAAUUUUUAGCCACCUUAACUAUUUUGUUCACACCAGACUAGCAAAUAAGAACUCAUAGUUCAUCCCAAUUAUAUUAACACAUACAAAUCAAGUUAUAUCACAAAAGGAAAUUGCCAAAGAAGAAUAACUCAUAUUGUAGCAACCAUGUGCAAGGAUCACACGGUUGGAGAAAGGAUUUUACAAAUGGCAAAAGAGUAAAUCUAAAAGAAAGGGAAAAAAGCAGUAUACACACUAGCAGAUACAUAAUUUGCCUUACACACUAGAAACCGACAUUCUUUCUUGAAUCAAUACAAUAUCAAGGAUAUAUGUUUUUGCUUUCUGCAUCCACUAGAAGAAGGGCAUAUAACUAUUCGGUAUCAAACUAUUCCUAUCAUCCUAUAAAAAUAAAAUAUAAAAAAAACUUUCCCUUCCAUAAACCAUGCCGCCAAAAAGUAACAUGGUAUAAGUUUAAAAAUAAAACUUAGCCUGAGAUCUGCAAAACUACAAAGGCUUCAUAAUAUGCAAUUACUUAAAGCAUCAUUGACUCACGGCCACCAUUACUAUAUUAAAGAAAUUGGAAUUCACAACCAUAUACCAUUCAAAAGAUACAUCAGUAAAGAUGAGGGUGCAUAGUAACCCAGAUAUAAAGUACCUCUGCUCGCUUUUUCCUGGUGGCUACAUGCAAUGCUGUGUUACCAAAUUUAUCGGGAAGCAUAACAAUUGCAGAGUCUGCCUCAAGAAGCAAUUUCACUACAUCACAGUUCGUCCCCUUUACAGCCAUAUGCAAUGCAGUUUGCCCUUUCUUGUCAGUUCUUCGUGCUAAUUGUGGAUCCUUACUCAGCAACGCUCUUACGAUCUCCACAUGCCCCCCUCUCGCAGCUAGAUGCAAUGCAUUCUUCCCAUUUGAUUUAGAAAUCUCCAACAAGGUACAAUCCUUUGACAGCAGCUCAUCAACUACCGCUAUAUGCCCUCUUUGAGCUGCAGAUAUAAGUGGGGUUGCAUUCGACGGGCCAAUUGUUUUGCUUAGCCCAGGGUCAUGAUCUAGUAGUACCUGGACGAUGGCUGCAAGAAAAGUGGGAGUAUGAAUGUAUUGUUCAACGGCACAGUAGCAUUCAGACCAUGGAAGCUCUAACUUUCAUUUUACUCGGACUAGAAAGAAAUCAUUAUGUGGGUAUAGACAAAGAACCAGGGCAGAAGCAACUUUAGGAAUACUGUCCAACGGAACCAGGAGACAAUUGUCAUAUGACAAAGUUAACACGUGUGUGUUGUCCACACAAGGACAUAGUUUAUAAUACACCAUAAUCUUGAAUGCUUCACUCUCUAUAAAUAAAUAUCACAAAAAAUUGAUAGCCUGUACUGUUGAUGAGAAAAUAAGAGCAGUGGCAAGUAUUUUAUGCAGUAAACACUUGGAUACUCCAUCAACCAAAAUUAAUCAUUCUUUCAAAUCAUAAAACUUGCAAACUAAAUAAUCAGUACUUCCAAUUUCCAGUGCAGCUUUGCUCAUACGAUAUACACUCUAUUGCCCAUUAUGUUAAAUAACUACAAAAACAAGAGAAAUGACAUAGCCAGAUCCCAACAUCUCCAAAAAGCGAACUUUAAUCCUAAUAACCCUCUUGCAAUCUUCACCACAACAAAAGUUCCACAGAUACCCAAAUUCACAAACCAAAUAAUUAAAAUUAGAUAAGGAGUUCAAAAUCCAAAAGAGCAUAAAAGCUGAAGAUCAUUACCAUGGUGUCCUCGACAUGCAGCUAUAUGCAAGGGAUCAAACCCCGAGCGGUUCUUCUUCGUAACGCUGUCCUUAUUUGAAUACUUCAACAGUUCCUUAACAACAUCAAGAUGCCCUCUAUCGGCGGCCGUGAACAAGGCAGUCUCCCCCAGCUCAUUCACCUCAUUCACCACCGCCGCCCGUACCUCAGCCACCUCCGAAUCAAACUCGGGCCCACUGACGGUCCCCACCAUCUGCGAAUCGAUAUCACCGAGAAUCUUCUGUACGGCGGCUAGAUCGGCGCGCUGAGCAGCCAAGUGGAGCUCAGUGUCGUUGUGGCGACCGGUGACCUGCUUCACGUACUUCUUCUUUCCCGCCUGGUCCAUGCGCUUGCCGGAGUUGGACAGGACCAAGGCCGGUGCCGACGCCGUCGACGACGGCGAUGGCGAUGGCGAUGGCGAAGGCGAAGGCUCGGCCAGAGGGUUUUGGUUCUGUGUUGGAGUCAUCAGACCUUUCUCUAAGUCCCUAUCACCUCCUCCUAUAAGUUCAAUAAUCACAAAAUUGAAAGUUACAAAACCUGUUUGGUUCAGAGGAAAGGAAGAACUUUCCAGGAAAAUUUAUAAAAAAAAGUAGCUGAUUUUGGAAAUGAAAUUAUGCAUGUGGGCAAAGUGACAGGCACCUGACAAGUUGUUGAUUGUUAAUCCAUUUGAGUAUUUAAUUUCUUAGUUUAUUCAUUUAUUUUGAGAGCUCUAGCUACAGAGAAUCUUUUUUUCUUUCUUCCUAUCAAAUUAAUUGGAAAUUAAAAAAUAUGUAUGUGUACAGAAAGAGAGGGAGAGCAGAGCACCUUGUUCAAUUGAGGUCGCCAUGGGAGACUCUGAAAGUGGACAAAGGAAAAGGCCACGAGUUCAUUCAAAGUUGAGCUGAGGAAUCUGAGAUUGAAGCAGUGGAGCUGAGAAGAGGGAAGAAAAUUAGAGGAAAAGAGCAAAAGAGAUGGAAGACAAUAUCACAACGAAUGAGGAAAGCGCUAGGAAAGGGGGAGGUGGCUAGUCUAGUGAUGGCUGGCUAACUUUUUUGGAUUUUUGUUUUGUUUUCCAGUUUUACUAUCUGACUUUCCACGUCAUCAUCACUCACCCAAAAAUAAACUACCUCCACUCAUCUUUUUUUAUCUUCGCGCCGUUUGGUUCACGGAACAGAUUUGAGAGAAAAUUACUUUUAAUAUCAUUUUCACAUUUGGUAAUGCCGAAAAAGUAAUCUGGAGAUUUCAUUUUAUUUUAUUUCUCAUAUUUAUUUUGAGUAGGAAUAGAAAACAAAGUUUGUAUAAUUUUUCAAUUAUACCCAUAGUAAAUCAAAUAAAAAAAGAAUGUAUUUAAUGAUACAUUGUAAUUCUAAAUUGUUAAUGGGGAUAAAAUGGUCAUGUAAAAUGUGCAUUGAAUAUUGAUUCAUUUUUCCAAACUUUCCUAUGAGGAGGGAAAACAAAACCCAAGUUGAAAGGAGGAUUUCACUUUCCCUUUAAUUUCUCAUGUGCCAGGCAAUCAUUUCCCAUGUAUGGAUUUAUCAAACAUGAGAAAGCAAUUGAUUUCCCAUACCCAAGCCUCAUUUCCCAUGAACAAAACGGGGCUUUUAAUUUUAGUGCAUCUUCAAGGGAAGAGGCAGAAGAGGGGAGCAUUUUUCCUCAUCACUUUAACCCAAAGUGUACCUUCAUCACAUUUCUCAACAUUUGACACUUGUCUAUUGACAUGACCAUGGUUCCAUAAAUACAAAGUAAAGAGUUAACUAUGGUUAUGCCAAUGGACACGUGUCAAGUGUUGAGAAUGAUGGUAAGAGUACACAUUGGGUUAAAGUGGUGAGCAAAAAUAUUUCAGCAAAAAAGUAGAUGAACCUCAUUUGCCUUGCCACAUCAACAUUUUCAUGCUCCAAGAGAAGAGGCAAAUGGGUAAGCAAAAUAUACCUACUCUCCCCAACAAGGCAAUAUUGCCUAUUUCAAAGUAAAGAGGUAUAUCAUGCUCCACUUAUUUUUAUAAUAAAAUAUCAUCUCCACUCUCUCAUUUAUUUUCUCUAAAAUAUAAUAGUAAAUGUAAAAGAUAAAAAUAAAUAAUAUAAUAAUAGUUUGUAGACUUGCAUUGCCUAUUCUCUUGAAAUGACCAAUUUUUUUCACGAGGCAAAUGGGUAGGCAACAUGCCACCUAAGUUGUUAUAGUACAAUUUUACUUAUUUCAUUUGCCUCUUCCCUUGGAGAUGCUUAAAGAAAUAAAAAAUUAUGAUUCAUAAUAUAUACAUGUGUAACGUACCUGCGCAAACUAACACUUUAUACUAAACUUUUAAAAAAUAAUUAUAGUUCAAAUUGUUGAAAAUAUUUAUUCGUAAAACUUUCGUCUUGUCUUAUACUCGAUUCUCCCUUUUCUUAUAUGUUUGUAUUAAGAAAGAAACUUGAAAACAAAUGAUACUCCCGACUGGUUGCUUUAUUAAGUAACAAAAAGUUUUUUGUUUUUUUUUGUUUUAAUAGGAACAAAAAGUGUUAUAAUUAGUUGUUCUUAUGUCUGAAUAAUUUCCUGCGGCUAAUGCAUGUGGAACUUACAACAUCUGCGACCUUUGGAAACAAGAUAGGAGAAUGACAAAUGUGUCUUGACUUCUUUAGCAUGUGUCUAUGACUUCCACCGCUAGUGUGUGAACUUUAUUUCGUACAAAGGAAAAACAAGGGUUGGAAUGUUUGGAUGCUUAUAUACACUAGGAAGCUUCACGGAUAUUAGCAAGUCUGAGUUUGAUUCAUCUUGAGCUUGACUAACAAAGUUAGGGCCCUUUCCUACUCAUUAAACCUCUUUUUCAAUACAAACAACAACUUCCAUACCUAACUCUUGAUUAAGAGCUGUUUUUUAUUUUUAAAAGAACCUUUCUUGUUGAGAGAAGCAAUAAUAUACUAAAUUUAUAAACACUACACGAAUACUAAGACUUAAACUCAGAAUCUUGACAAGUUAUUGGGCUUGGGAUUCUCCGCAAGGCUGUAUGGUUGUGGGACUCAAAGAGGCCACUAUGUCAGGAUCCAACGGAUAACAGAUACUGGAUUUUAUCCGCAUGUUUCUUGCCCUGAUUUAAACGAAUUUCAGGAUUUAAGGACUAAAUUAUAGGGGCACCCACAGAGGUGCGCCCCUCCAAAAAUAGGCGUAUGCCAUUUAAAGCGACGUGCACACGGUAUUCUUUAGUAAAAGGCGAAAGAAUAGUUCGCUUUGUGCUCAACGCAUGGCUCCGUGAUUUGGACCCUCACAUGCUGCUUUGCUUUAUACUACGGAGACUGCCUAAUUCUUGCUCUCUUGUCGAUGUGGGAGUCGUAGCGCUGUCGCUCGUGGCUCUGUCAUACUUGGUACUUCAAAUAUCAACAUUUUUUAUAUAGAGAAGCAAUUUCAACUUUGGGCUCAAACACUUGGGAUUCAAAGCCCAUACUUCCUGGUGGUUCACUUUACUUUCAUAGAUAAGCAUUUCAGAUAAAAUAGGAGAGCGACCAAAUUACUGUGGUUUCAGUUCACCGCUCCAUGACUUCCACAUGUAUGUAUGAACUUAUUUUACAUCAAGGAAAACGUCUGGAAUUGUUGGCUGUUGAUAGAGCCAUAUAAAGAAGCUGUAAGGACAUUAGUAGGUGUGAAAUUUAUUCAUCUUUACCAUCGAACUUAAAUGUCCCUUCUUUCCUAUAUUUUUUUCCUCACAAUUUUAUGUGGUGGUCUUCGAUUUUGUUCAAAGCAUUGUUGGUAGUGAAAAUGACAAACACAAUAAAAUUGUGAGUUGUUGAUGCAUUAUGAAUCAUAGUCGCUCAUGUCACUUUUGCCGACAAAGAAAAAAUUGUAAUUUCAUAUGAUGUCAAAUGUCGUGUAUCACCUGGUCUUGUAUCCCCUCUCAGAUUAAUUUUUCCUUUGUUAUGAUGUCAAAUAUCGUGUAUGACCUCAUCUUGUAUCCCCUCAGAAUUUCAAUUUUUCACCAGAACCCCUCUGAGAGGUUUCAGAUAAUAGAAUAAAAAUAGGUAAAAAUAAAGUGAUAGAAUAAAAACAUUUUAAUUGAAUUGUAAGGGUCACCUACAGAGGUGCACCCAUCAAAACACAGGCGUAUGCCAUUUAAAGCGACGAACACGCGGUAUUCUUUAGUAAAAGGCGAAAGAAUAGUUCGCUUUGUGCUCAACGCAAGGCUCCUUUUUUCGGGCCCUCACAUGCUGCUUUGCUUUAUUCUACAGAGACUACCUACUUCUUGCUCUCUUGUCGAUGUGGGAGCUGCAGCGCUAUCGCUCAAGGCGCACGCUCUCAUACUUGGAGAAGCAAUUUCAACUUUGGGCUUAAACACUUCGGAUUCAAAGCAAAGGGUGAUUUACUUUGCUUGCAUCGUCUUUGAAAGAAGAUAGGAGACCGACAAAUUAUUGUGGCUUUAUUCCACCACUCCAUGACUUUCCUCCACAGAUAUGUAUGAAUUUAUUGUACAUCAAGAAAAAGGUAAGGAAUAUUUGGUUGUUGAUUCCGAAGUGUUUAAGCCAUAAGGGCUUCACGGACAUUAAAAACUGUAAAUUUGAUUCCUCUUGACCAUCGAACUUAAGAUCCCUUUUUUCCUGGACUUUUUCCUCAAAAUUUGGGUGGUUGCCUUGGAUAUUAAAACUAAUCUUUUACCUGUUGGUUGUGUUCCUUCCUCGAACAUGAAUCUAUUGUUGUUCAAAGUAGUGUUGGGUACAAUUUACAACAAAGUUGUGAAUAAUUGUGUACGCUGUGGGUCAGUCGCGCAUGUCAGUCACACAUGCGCGAGUAGAAUGAUACUAACAAAAUCUUAAGGCCCGUCUGAUAACGUUUUCAAAGAGCAUUUUUAGAAAAUAAAAACGCGUCUGGUAGCUUAGUUGAAAACUGUUUUUAGAGAACAAAAACAGUGAAAACGCGUCUGGCAAUAAUAUGUGAAAAUGACAAAAACAAUGAAGAUGUAUGUAACUUUAAUUAAAAUGCUUUUUUUUUUAAUACAACAUUAUGUAAUCAAUAUGUGAGUUAAAAAAAAAUAGUAUGUAUAUUAUUUUUUAAGCAUCUUAAAGAAUAUCAUUUAAAAAAUAGAAUAAAAUUAUAUAUUAUAAAACUAGAAUUAUCUUUGUAAAAAAAAUUGAAACCUCAACCCAACCUUCGCUUUCACUCUCUGCAAACCCACCCCAAUUCUAUCAUUCCCCUCUCUCUCUCUCUCUCUCUCUCUCUCUCUCUCUCUCUCUCUCUCUCUCUCUCUCUCCAAAAUUGAAGAAUUAGACCAACCCCCUUUUUUUUUCACUUUCUCUUCAUGCUGCUGCACCUUCUCUCUAUCUUUCUCUCACUGCAACCUCACCUUCCAAUAGCUUCCCAGCUCAUUUUCCUUUUCUUGGACUGAAAAUUGAUUCAGCAAUUAGUUGUUCAACGAUGGUAGUUCAAUUCAAUUGCGUAGAGAAUUUGUUAGCUUUGAUUAAGUGGCGGUGAUGUCAGUCUGGUUUGAUGGGGUGAUGUUGGUGGUUCAAGCUCUGCGUGUGAUUCUCUGUUGGCAGCGUUUGACGGUGGUUUUGGUCUGAUGGGGAGAGAAGCAACGUGUUUUCAGUGUUGUUUCCUGUGAGAAUGAAAACAGCUUUUUUCUGUUUUCUACAAGUAGACGUGGAAUUGUUUUUGUUUUCAUAAAACGUUCUCUGUGUUUUCUGUUUUUGUCCACUAAACAGGUUUUUUGUUUGUUUUUAUUCUCUCAAAAUAAAAAUGAGCUCUCAAAACAUAAACGAACCGGGCCUUAUAUUUUUAAGCGCACUUCUGCCAACAUAAAAAAUGAUGUGAUUUGAUAUGAUGUCAAGCUACACAAAACUUAGAGGCAACAAUAUUGUACUGCAUAGUAAAAUGCAAUAUUCCAAGCUAUGCAUCAUUCUCAUAAUCAAGGUCUAAAAUAUCGAGGGUUUUAGAAAUAUCGGAGGUCCAAAAACACAGAAAUAUUGAUUGAAAUAUUGGAAAAGUAUCAAUAUUGGUAAAAAUUGAAUACAAACCACAGAAAGAAAAACUUGAAAAUUUUGAUUGAAACUUUAGAGAAUGUUUAUUUAGUCAAAUAUCUAUUAUUUUAUCACAAAAAAUUGGAAGGAAAUGCAUUACAUUGUGGGUUUGACUUGAUUUAAGUUGAUUAUAUAGCGUACUGACAAACACCGUGAGUGUAGAAAAUAUGUAGUAAUUAAUGAAAGAAAAUUAAACAUACCAUAAUCAUUUAUUUAUAAUGAUUUACUACAAUAUUUUACACUUUAUAUAUUGCAUGGUAACAUACAUGAGUGACUUAGUACCACAUAGAGUUCCUAUGAGGUUCAAAUUUUUCACUGUCUUUAUUAUCUCUAGUUAUGUGCAGAGUACAUGUACUGUGAAGAGUAGCCAUCAAAUGAUAAAUUUCCAAAAUAGUUUUGCAUAUAAUUGUUAACAUGUCAUCCAUAUGGAUUUGAGAAUGGUUGACGUUUCCCGUAAAGAAAAUCAUUUGAAGAUUGGGUCUCGAUUCUUUCUAUGAGCCGCUCGAUUCCAUCCCAAAAGGCAUGAGAUAUGAAGGGUAAGAAAAUGGUUGGUUUUGUGUAUAACAAAGUCAUCGACAGUGUGGUGGAUAAGGCGUAGGAGGAAGAAUGGAAGUGGCAAAGGUUCAAAUCCCCAUGUGCGCACGCGUAUAAGCCUUUUCAUUAUUUUUUCUAUUCCAUGUCCAUAUCAUGAUAUUAUCGUGAUACACUGACCAAAUGCUGAUGAUAAUUGAAGGAUAUUAUUGAAGUCGAAAUUUUCCUGAUAUUAUCGAUAUUUAUAUGAUAAGUACACGAAGGGCUUGGAUGUAUUAUGCCCCAGCCCAAAAGCUUUGUUAUGUUAAUCAUAUAACUGGGUUUUUUCUCUUUAAAACAGUGUGUUACAACAACUGACCACAGAAGAAUAUGUUGUGGAAGUAGAGUUACUAGAUCUAAAUGAAUCUUUCAUUUUUAGGUGCUAUGAGAUCGUGUGGGAUGCUGGAAGUGAUGUAGACUUUUUUGGCUGGGUAAAUGUUGAGGGUAAGACCUUCUCACUUUUGGUGCUUUUAGUUUCAUGUUCAAGCAAAAUAUGUUGUUCUCAUAAUCUCUUUGAUGCAAUGGUGAUGCAAGGACUCUUCUUGAUCAUCUAUCUAUUAACUCUCAAUGAGUUGGGCUUCAUUUGUAAUGUUUAUCCCUCAAUGUCUUGUUGGAAGUAUUUUUCUAAAUUUAUUGUAUGUAAGAACCUCCGUUUAGGAUGUAUGCUUCUUAUACAUCUCUCUUAUUUACCGCUAUAUUAAGGAAAUUCUGCUUGUUUAAAAAACACACACACAAGUGACCACCAAAGAAGGACAAGGAUUUACAAGAAUAUUUAAUGAAGUGUCAGUUCCAACAAACAUGAAAGUUUGGCCUAAAAGUUUAUACAAAAAUAUUUUGCAGUUCAUCUUGUAGGGGCUGGUCAAAGCAAUUAUUACAAUUAUUUUAAUCUGUAUGUGAUCAAGGGUAAAAAUAUCCACUUCAAAUGUAACUUAUACAUGAAUUAUAAGGGGCACCUACAGAGGUGCGCCCCUCCAAAAAUAGGCGUAUGCCAUUUAAAGCGACGCGCACACGGUAUUCUUUAGUAAAAGGCGAAAGAAUAGUUCGCUUUGUGCUCGACGCAUGGCUCCGUAAGUUACAAGUGGAUCAGCUGCUUUAUUUUAUAUGAACUACCAUACAUUCUUUUAGCUCCUUCUGCCGAUGUGGGACAAAACUUCCUACACCUCAAAGACUUUUCAUAUAUUAGUUCAACGGCCAACUUAGAAAAACUUGGCUUAGCAUAUGCGGAGGACAUUACCCUUAUCUGCCACACUUGUUAUUUCCUCUAGUCCUUCAUCUUCAACCGCAGCAUGCCUCUGCUCAUCUUAGUUAUUCCCAUCCAAUCCCAAUGACCCAAAGCUCUGAGUUUGCUAGUUCCUUUGUGAAUUUCGUACCUUACAUAAAAUAAAUUAAACCCUGGUUGAGGCUCAGUCUGUGUACGAGAAUUGUGUAGGAGACUCAGUCUGUGUACAAUUGUCAUUAAGUCCUGGUUGAGGCUUGGUGGAUAUAAUUAGUGUUCAUUUCAAAAUGUGAAUUUGACAACCACAGAUUGACAAAAGUUCCGGUCUCUUCAGUUUAAUGCUUAAAAAAUAAAUUAUUUUUCAGGGAUACAGUGUAUCUGGCUAAAGGCCUAAUUUGACCACUACUGUCUAUGAAUUUGACUUAACUUUGCUCCCCUGGAAAACCAGCAGACAGGUGAUUUAUUACUCUUGUUGGCCAAUUUAUUACUUUGAUGGUCAAGCUCAAGACAGCAUUGGCUAACUUUUGUCUGAGCCAACACAUGGGGAGAAAAGACUUUUGAUUCAGAAUUUAUUGUGUAUCAGACAUGGCAGUGAUACAAUCAAAUAUUGGUGAACAACACUGCAAUGAAAAUAAAUUGCCCAACAAUCAUUCUUUGUUUGAAUUGAAUCUUUCAUGUAAUUUGUUUCCUAGAUAUAUCAGCCAAUUGCCAUUUCCAAAACCAGAUGCCAAGAUAGUGGAUGUGAACCUCAGAAGUCACACUCAGAAAAGAGACAUCAUAUUUAUAUGUGAAAAUGAUAAACUUCCAGCGCCUAUAUGCAUACUUUUCAUCUCCCCCUCCUUUUUUCUUAUCAAGUUAACCAUUGAUUUGAAGAGUUAAUAAAUAUUUUAAGCAUAUGUCAGUGAAGUAAUGCCUUGUACUUCUGUUGGAGUUUGAAAAUUAUAUAGUAGAACAAGCUUUCUGUUUACUUAAACACAAUGAACAAGCUUUCUGUUUCUCUUUUGACACUUAGUUGAUGAAACAAAACACUACCCUUUACCUGAGAAACUUCAAACAAUCAUAAACUUUAACAUAUCCAUGCGGAAUACAAUUAAGGAAAAAGAUGGAUACUUUAACAAAACAGCUGAAGUUCAGCAAAUAAUUGGGAAAAAUCAAACCUAAGAAAGCUUAGAUAUUCAUCAUUGAGCCAACCAUACUUCUCCAUGAAUGGAUUGACUAAGGUUUUAGGAGGGUAACUCUCUAUGCAAUCUUUCCAAACAUUGGCAUCACCCAAGUCCUUGAGCACUUCCCACACAAUAUUGUUGCACUUAAAACCUGCUCCAAAUCCACUCAUCAGAAUUCUGUUGCCCUUCUUAAGCCUCUGCUUGGCCUCCAUAUAUCCCAAAGCAUACCAAAAGCCAGCUGCUGAUGUGUUGCCAAACCUGUGAAGUGCCAUUCUAGAUGGCUCAACAUCAUAAUCACUUAGCCCCAAGCUCUUACCAAUCCCAUCUAUGAUUGCUCUUCCACCAGGGUGAAUGCAAAAGUGCUCAAUCCCGGUCUUAAGAUUCAACCCAACUCCCUCAUCUGCUUUUGGCUUUUGGCUUUUGGCACUUUUAAGCCUAGAUACCGCCAGGUACCUAAGUAUUUCUCUCAGUGGAAGCACUUUUGGUACUAGAACUUGGAGGUUCAUUGUAAAAGCCAGAGCUGCUGCUUUUGUGAGGUGUUUGGUAAGGCGAAAACCUUGAUAUCCACUCUCAUCUUCUGCCUGUAUGCAGCAAUCAUACGCUUCAUCACUUGAGCCAAUGUGGGUUCGUACCAAAUGCCUUAACUUCAACAUGGCUUGGUGCUUUAGGCCUUUGUUGUUUGUGAACAGCAUCGAACACCCUCCCGAGCGGAACAGACAGUUGGUGAGCAUCAUGGACUUUUCUUUGCCACAGUACCAGUUAGGAGCUAUGGAUUCUGUGCUUACAACAAUUGCAUUUGCGUUUUUGUAUGACUUGAACAAGUUUUGUACAACAUCAAUAGCAAUGAGACUUGCACUGCAUCCCAUUCCUGAGAGGUUGAAGGUCUUGAUGUCCUCCCUCAUCUUGUAACGAUUUAUUAUACGAGAUGUUAGAGAGGGUGCAGGGGAGAACAUUGACACAUUGACAACCAGAAUGUCGAUUUGUGAUGGAGAAAUUGAAGUAGGCCUGGCAAAAAGCUUGUCAAGUGUGUCAAAUAUGAUACCAUCCAUCUCACAAAGCUCAUCUGCCCGGGUUGGAUUUCGGCCUUCAAUGAUGUUUCGUGGGCAAGAUGUUUCUUCACCAAUGCCAGAACUGACAAUAGUUUUCAAGAGAAACCUGAGUUCUUCCAAUCCCAAAUUCUUGUUCUGCAUGACGAUUUUUGCGCUGGAAUCACAGUUGAGCUUCAUGUCCUCUUUGGCCUUGUAGCACUCAUAAGCCAGCAUAUAGCAGCUCUGGUCUCUCCUUUGGAGAAGUAACUUGCAGAGGCAGAAGAAACCAAAGAAAAGAGUGAGAAGAGACAUUGUCAUGAAGAUCUCCAUGGCCCUACAGCUCUCUUUGUUUGUGGGUGUGAGAGAUGGAGAGAGAUAGAAUUGUGAAGUGUUAUAUGUGAGUUGCAUGCAAAACUUCAACAACUAUCUUAGUACUUAUCCUACACUGCACCCAUCUCUUUCUUAUAAAUCGAUGGUGAUGAACUAAUGUUGCUUGUGAUCACUAAUGGAAAGACCUCUACUUUUUACCUACAAGUUAGCAGGUAUUUAUUAAGAUUAAUUUUAUGGUUAGGCGGUAGGCACAACCAUGCAAUAAAACGACAAGCCAUGACUGAACGAACAGCCUAAAUGGUCAGAGUUUCAGUCAAGUUAUUGAGAGGGAGUUAUGCUUCAUAUCUACACUAGCCAAGUUGCCAUCUCUCCUCUUACAAAAACUUCAACGCUAAAAUUAAUAUCAAACAGUUCUAAAUUCUCUCUCUCUCUCUCUCUCUCUCUCUCUCUCCAUAUAUAUAUAUACAGAGAGCUUCCAUUGAGGGAUCCCUCAAAUAAGCUUAUUUGAGGGACACCCCUUGUAGGCCCCACUUCGGAUUGUAUUUCAUUAAUCCAAACCGUCUAUUUUGUAGAUACUCAUUCAAAGAUCAUCCCUACAAAAAAUCACUUGAAUCCGAUAUCAUUUGACCACUCAAUUAAGUUAUUGAAAUUUUAGCAUUUUCUUGAAGUACCGUGUUCAUUGAUUUUGUAAGACACAAUUGGAUGUCGAAACGGUUUCCGAUUUGUCUAAUUUUUUGUUAGGAUGAUCUAUGAAUGAAGACCUAAAAAAUAGAUGGUUUGGAUCAUUGGGAAAAAAAUUGUAGAGUACCCUAAAGGGCGUCCCUCAAAUAAUUUUAUUUAAGGGAUCCCUCAAUAGAAGGGGACUGUAUAUAUAUAUAUAUAUAUAUAAUCUUUUAAAUUUCUGUAAAAACAAGAAGACUUUUGAAUAUUUUUUGUUGCUGAAAUGUUUGGUUUUGGGGUUAUGUGGGAUUUCAUUAUUGCCCUGCUCAAGAAAAUGUAACUUUCCAAGGUGUGAAUUAUCUUUUAUCAUCUCAUUAUUUCUUCCAAGAGACAUGAAUUUGAAGUUGAAGUUACAGCACGAAACUAGCAAGUGGGCUGUGUAUGUACAUUAAGUCUUUGUCUGCCUGUUUACUUUUCGGUUUGUGUGUGCUUUAUCUUUGUGUAGUUUGUGUGUUAUAAUUGCGAAGUUUAUCAACAACAAGGUCUUGGAGUGUUUUCGCACAACAGAAAUAACUCUCCAAUAGAAGACAGUUGCAAUGAAGUCUCUCAUAUUUAUAAUAGCACAUUCAGUUGGAUUUCUUGGGAGUGGGUGCACAUUUUCAAGUGCAUUCAUUCCCAUAGAAAACGCUAUAUUUCUCUAGAUGGCAAAAUGAAAUAAGUCUAUAUAUGCCUUCUAGUUGCAUCAUGUUUGCAUUUACAGGUUCUAAUUCUAGGUUGCAGAACUCCAGAAUAUAUUUGAAAACUCAUGAGUUCCACUCUAAGAUAUAAAAUCAAUAGGCUAUGAUCAAAAUGGCAGACUGGUCUUCCACUAGACUAAUGCACCACACUGGUUAUUCAGAAACCAAACUGCGCUCAAGGCACUUGCAUUGCUUAUUUCAACCCAGAAUACAAAUUUAAACAAAUUCAUGUGUAACUAGGUUUCAAAUAAAUUGAAUUGCUUUAUUAUUUGAAUGUUGGACUGUUGUCCCACUGGAUAUUGGAACAGCCAUUCUAUUACAACAUAACUACAGAUAAAUCAGAUGAGACGAAAAAAGUACUUGGAAAAUCGGCUGCAAGUGCGGGUCUUCAACUUCCUGAGGUUUAUCAGCCUUGAAAUUUAGUUGGGUAUAAUUUGCUACAUUCUAUUAUGGCAUAGAAAAUAUGCCUCCAGCGAACCAUGUAGCCUGUGGAAUUUUUUAGUUAUAUUCGUAAAUAACUAAGUGCUAUAUGCUUGUUACCAACAAUGGGAUCGAAAUUUGUUUGACUUGCUGCUAUCUAUUUUAACAAAAAUAAGUUUUGCUACAUCAGCUGAAUUUGAUCAUUUGUAAGGGUAUUGACUUGUAUACCAGUGGUCUCACAUAUACUUUAGUAGUGUGUGAUCACAAAACCCCCUUCCCUUAAUAUCACUUGUAUUAAAAAAUAUAUAUAUAUAUUACGACAAAAACAAAUCAUAAUAAUCAAAUUAUUUUAUUGCCCAUUUAAAUGUCAGAUAAUAAAUAAUAAAUGAAAAGGCAGGUUUUAAUACGCCCCAUUAUUUUUUUUUAAAACGCAUGUCUAGAAAAUGGACUUUCAAAAACAAAAAAAUUGUAAGUCGAGUGGAAAAAAGGCCUCUCAUAGCACAUGCUUCUUUUCUUUUCUUUUUUUAAUUUAUAAAUAUAAGCGAACUACAAGGGGUGGGGUUCUCACACACACACUAUCAAGGUGCUAUGUGAAUUCGAACUUAAGACCAUUAGUCUGCAAAUUAAGACCUUUUUUUCAUUGGGUUAAAUUAUGUUAGUGCACAGGGGCUAAUUUAAAAUUAAUUAAGAAAAUUUAAUAUAAAGAGAAAACAAACUGCAGGAAACUUUGAGAUUCCUUAUUUUUUAGUGUACCACACAAGAUCACCAGUCCCCUUUUUUCCGUUGUUUUUAUGGGUUCGCAUGUUUUCUAAGUCCUUGUUUAAUCUUUGGGCGUGAUACUCCUCAGUAUAUAAUUCCCAUUCUAAUGAGAGAUUCCUAUUAUUUAAAGACUUAUGCAAUUAAUUUUAUUUCAUAAACAUCUUUUACGGUUUAUUACGAUUUUUUUCAACAAUUCAAAACUAUCUAUUUUUCAAAUCUUUAUUCAUAAAUCAUCCUUACAUAAAAUUAGACAAAUUGAAAAUCAUUUAGACAUCUAGUCAUAUCUAAUAAGAUUUCAAAUUUGUUCAAAGAGGUGUAAUUGAUGAUCAGAGUCUGAUAAUAAUUCCAAUUUCAAAGAAUAAUCAAUUCAUGAAGUCUAAUGUCUAUUUGAUUCUCCAAACAGUACCCAUUUUCGACACAGCAUAUAAUGAUGGAUCCAUAUGAGCGGGAUUUGUAUACAUUAUUGCCCUACUCAAAAAAAAUGUAACUUUCCAAGAUGUGAAUCUGAAGGUACAGCUAGAAAUUAGCAAGUGAAUAGUAAAUGCAAUUCCAACGAUGGGAAACAGAGCAUUGUAUUCACAUAAAAAACCAUUUGGGUACAAUAGUAAGCGACAAACACCAGAAAUAAGAAAAUCCAAAUAAUUCGAACUCAAAUUAUAGGGGCACCCACAGAGGUGCGCCCCUCCAAAAAUAGGCGUAUGCCAUUUAAAGCGACGCGCACACGGUAUUCUUUAGUAAAAGGCGAAAGAAUAGUUCGCUUUGUGCUCGACGCAUGGCUCCGUAAGUUUUCAAGCAAACAGCUACUUUAUUUUAUAACCCCGACUCUAGCUAGUUCGUACUCCUUCAGCCGAUGUGGGACAAAAGUGCCUACACCUCAACCCUUCUCAAAACGGCCAACUUAGAAAAACUUAGCUUAGCAUAUUCAGAGGAGAUUGCCCUUCUCUAUCACACUUAA
rnacentral:lncRNA from 1 species